rnacentral:rRNA from 1 species
AGCGAACGCUGGCGGCAGGCUUAACACAUGCAAGUCGAGCGGGCAUAGCAACAUGUCAGCGGCAGACGGGUGAGUAACGCGUGGGAACGUACCUUUUGGUUCGGAACAACACAGGGAAACUUGUGCUAAUACCGGAUAAGCCCUUACGGGGAAAGAUUUAUCGCCGAAAGAUCGGCCCGAGUCUGAUUAGCUAGUUGGUGAGGUAAUGGCUCACCAAGGCGACGAUCAGUAGCUGGUCUGAGAGGAUGAUCAGCCACAUUGGGACUGAGACACGGCCCAAACUCCUACGGGAGGCAGCAGUGGGGAAAAUUGGACAAUGGGCGCAAGCCUGAUCCAGCCAUGCCGCGUGAGUGAUGAAGGCCCUAGGGUUGUAAAGCUCUUUUGUGCGGGAAGAUAAUGACGGUACCGCAAGAAUAAGCCCCGGCUAACUUCGUGCCAGCCGCCGCAGUAA